rnacentral:rRNA from 1 species
UACGAAGGGUGCAAGCGUUACUCGGAAUUACUGGGCGUAAAGCGUGCGUAGGUGGUUUGUUAAGUCUGUUGUGAAAGCCCCGGGCUCAACCUGGGAAUGGCAAUGGAUACUGGCAGGCUAGAGUGCGGUAGAGGGUAGUGGGAAUUCCCGGUGUAGCGGUGAAAUGCGUAGAGAUCGGGAGGAACACCAGUGGCGAAGGCGGCUACCUGGACC